rnacentral:rRNA from 1 species
GACGAACGCUGGCGGCGUGCUUAACACAUGCAAGUCGAACGGAAAGGCCCUGCUUUUGUGGGGUGCUCGAGUGGCGAACGGGUGAGUAACACGUGAGUAACCUGCCCUUGACUUUGGGAUAACUUCAGGAAACUGGGGCUAAUACCGGAUAGGAGCUCCUGCUGCAUGGUGGGGGUUGGAAAGUUUCGGCGGUUGGGGAUGGACUCGCGGCUUAUCAGCUUGUUGGUGGGGUAGUGGCUUACCAAGGCUUUGACGGGUAGCCGGCCUGAGAGGGUGACCGGGCACAAUGGGACUGAGAUACGGACCAGACUCCUAAGGGAGGCAGGAGUGGGGAAUAUUGCACAAUGGGCGGAAGCCUGAUGCAGCAACGCCGCGUGCGGGAUGACGGCCUUCGGGUUGUAAACCGCUUUCGCCUGUGACGAAGCGUGAGUGACGGUAAUGGGUAAAGAAGCACCGGCUAACUACGUG